UACGAAGGUCCCAAGCGUUAUCCGGAUUUAUUGGGUUUAAAGGGUGCGUAGGCGGGUUAUUAAGUCAGUGGUGAAAGCCUACAGCUUAACUGUAGAACUGCCAUUGAUACUGAUGAUCUUGAGUAUGAUUGAGGUUGGCGGAAUGUGUCAUGUAGCGGUGAAAUGCUUAGAUAUGACACAGAACACCGAUUGCGAAGGCAGCUAACUAAGGCAUAACUGACGCUGAUGCACGAAAGCGUGGGGAGCAAACAGG
rnacentral:rRNA from 1 species